rnacentral:rRNA from 1 species
GGAGGGUGCGAGCGUUAAUCGGAAUAACUGGGCGUAAAGGGCACGCAGGCGGUGACUUAAGUGAGGUGUGAAAGCCCCGGGCUUAACCUGGGAAUUGCAUUUCAUACUGGGUCGCUAGAGUACUUUAGGGAGGGGUAGAAUUCCACGUGUAGCGGUGAAAUGCGUAGAGAUGUGGAGGAAUACCGAAGGCGAAGGCAGCCCCUUGGGAAUGUACUGACGCUCAUGUGCGAAAGCGUGGGGAGCAAACAGGAUUAGAUACCCUGGUAGUCCACGCUGUAAACGAUGUCGAUUUGGGGGUUGAACUUUAAGUUUGGCGCCCGUAGCUAACGUGAUAAAUCGACCGCCUGGGGAGUACGGCCGCAAGGUUA